CUUAUAAGAAAGUAAAAAAAGAAGAAGAAAGUAAAAAAAGGCUUGUUUCUAAUUUAUUGUGGUGUAACAGAUCUCGAGUGAUAUCUGUUCUCUUUCCAGAAAGGCAGAUGUUGGAUUACAGCAAUGGAGCAGAAUCAACCCAAUCUUAUGCUCCUUAAAAAAUGAGUAUAAUAAGGAUCUCUGGGAAUACAGUUUUUGUGAUUCACUCCCAGAAGGGACACUGCUGGAGAUUACACAAGGCACUUUGGAGACACAUCAACUCAGCAGCCGCACGGUGGAUGCUUUAGCUCAAGGCUGCUGUCUGCUCUCUUUUGGUGCACCACUGUGGUUGGAGAGACUGAGUAGAUAAGUAUAUGUUGAUAAAUUAAAUGUUACCAACACCUCUCCUUACUUACUUACUUCUUACUGGACUCUUUUUCCAAUAUUAACAAAGUUAACAAAGUUAA